rnacentral:misc_RNA from 1 species
AAGUCGUAACAAGGUUUCCGUAGGUGAACCUGCGGAAGGAUCAUUAACGAAUAACUAUGGUGUCUUGGUUGUAGCUGGCUCCUCGGAGCAUUGUGCACGCCCGCCAUUUUUAUCUAUCCACCUGUGCACCGACUGUAGGUCUGGAUGACUCUCGUGCUCUCUGAGUGCGGAUGCGAGGAUUGCCCUCUUGAGGUGUCUCUCCUCGAAUUUCCAGGCUCUACGUCUUUUUACGCACCCCACAAGUAUGAUAUAGAAUGUAGUCAAUGGGCUUGAUCGCCUAUAAAACACUAUACAACUUUCAGCAACGGAUCUCUUGGCUCUC